rnacentral:rRNA from 1 species
UCAGGGAAGAACUAAAGUGACGGUACCUGAGGAAUAAGGGGCUGCAAAACUCGUGCCAGCAGCAGCGGUAAAACGAGUGCCCCAAGCGUUAUCCGGAAUUACUGGGCAUAAAGGGUGCGUAGGUGGUCUUAUUAGUCGUUUGUUAAAACUCCCGGCCUAACCGGGAAGCAGUGAACGAAACGGUAAGACUAGAGAGAGUGAGAGGUUAGCAGAACUCAUGGUGUAGGGGUGAAAUCCGUUGAUAUCAU